rnacentral:rRNA from 1 species
UACGAAGGGGGCUAGCGUUGUUCGGAAUUACUGGGCGUAAAGCGCGUGUAGGCGGGUCCUUAAGUCAGGGGUGAAAUGCCAAGGCUCAACCUUGGAACUGCCUUUGAUACUGGGGAUCUUGAGUCCGGGAGAGGUGAGUGGAACUGCGAGCGUAGAGGUGAAAUUCGUAGAUAUUCGCAAGAACACCAGUGGCGAAGGCGGCUCACUGGCCCGGUACUGACGCUGAGGUGCGAAAGCGUGGGGAGCAAACAGG